UACGUAGGGGGCAAGCGUUGUCCGGAAUGACUGGGCGUAAAGGGAGUGUAGGCGGCUUAUCAAGUUAGAUGUGAAAUCCCGCGGCUUAACCGCGGAACUGCAUCUAAAACUGGUGAGCUGGAGUGCAGGAGAGGUGAGUGGAAUUCCUAGUGUAGCGGUGGAAUGCGUAGAUAUUAGGAGGAACACCAGAGGCGAAGGCGACUCACUGGACUGUAACUGACGCUGAGGCUCGAAAGCGUGGGGAGCAAACAGG
rnacentral:rRNA from 1 species